UAUUAAAUGGGGUUGCCUAAAUGGGGCUUGAAACAAACAAAAAAGUGAGAAAAAGAGUAGUAAUAUGGGGUGAUUUUCAUCUAAUGGUGAUUUUCAUUGAAUAAGGGUUAUUACUUGUCAUAUUCAGUUACUAUUGUUGAAGACAGUAAGGCUGGACAUCUCAUGAAGCCAAGACCAGAAAGUAUUACCAGCAUGGAAACUGACAGUGUUAAAAAAAAGGGAUUUUGACGAACUUCAAGAUCAGGUUAGGCGCUUAAAGAAGAGGGUUCGGGAACUCGAAAGGUUCCAAGAUUCUGCGAAAUCCAGCAAUAAAGCAUCUAAUCUGCCCGAAGGACCAAUCCUGUCCAGCCAUUCAGAAAGUCCUAGUAGCCCUUCACAGAAACCGUGUGAGGAGUAUAAUGGCUAUACAGAACAACAAUUGAAGGAUAUGAUUUGUCACGAGGACAGCCUUUUUGAGUGCUGUAAAAAAACUUCUGGCUCUGUUUUCCACUGACUACAUUACUAGCCAUAGUGUAACUGGUAGGAGAGCAAACACCAACACAGAGCCCAAACCCAAAUUUGAUCCAAGAUUGUAUGCUUGCUUAAGCAAAGUGUUAAAAGAAAAGUUUCCUGGCACUAAAGACACAGAAAUAACAUUGAAGACAGCUGUUCAAAAGAAAUGCAAAAAAGCUAAUCAGUAAAAUGAAGGUUUUAUGGAAUAAAUUUUUGAUUGUUUAA